GACGAACGCUGGCGGCGUGCUUAACACAUGCAAGUCGAACGCAGUGGCGAACGGGUGAGUAACGCGUAAUCAACCUGCCCUUCAGAGGGGGACAACAGUUGGAAACGACUGCUAAUACCGCAUACUGAAGGAGGGGAUGGCGUCGGAUUCGCUAGUUGGGGGGGUAACGGCCCACCAAGGCCAUGAUUAGUAGCCGGUCUUGGAGGAUGAACGGCCCCAUGGGGACUGAGACACGGCCCAGACCCCUACGGGAGGCAGCAGGGGGGAAUCUUCCGCAAUGGACGAAAGUCUUACGGAGCAAAGCCGCGGGGGUGAUGACGGGCUUCGGGUUGUAAAGCUCUGUUAAUCGGGACGCGGUACCGGAAUAGAAAGCCACGGCUAACUACGUGCCAGCAGCCGCGGUAAUAC
rnacentral:rRNA from 1 species